rnacentral:rRNA from 1 species
UACGUAGGGUGCAAGCGUUAUCCGGAAUUAUUGGGCGUAAAGAGCUCGUAGGCGGUUUGUCGCGUCUGCUGUGAAAACCCGAGGCUCAACCUCGGGCCUGCAGUGGGUACGGGCAGACUAGAGUGCGGUAGGGGAGAUUGGAAUUCCUGGUGUAGCGGUGGAAUGCGCAGAUAUCAGGAGGAACACCGAUGGCGAAGGCAGUUCUCUGGGCCGUAACUGACGCUGAGGAGCGAAAGCGUGGGGAGCGAACAGG